UACGAGGGGGGCGAGCGUUGUUCGGAAUUAUUGGGCGUAAAGGGUGCGUAGGCGGUUUGGUAAGUCUUAUGUGAAAUCUACAGGCUCAACUUGUAGUCUGCAUGAGAAACUGCCGGGCUUGAGUAUGGGAGAGGUGAGUGAAAUUCCUGGUGUAGCGGUGAAAUGCGUAGAUAUCAGGAGGAACACCUGUGGCGAAAGCGGCGCACUGGACCACAACUGACGCUGAGGCGCGAAAGCUAGGGGAGCAAACAGG
rnacentral:rRNA from 1 species